CAUUAGACAGAUAUUAGGGGAACAAUUGGGAGUAUUGGGCCAGGCUGGCCGCUAGCGCUCUUCACUACGAUCAACGAGGAAGCCUUCUCUGGAGGACGAGAUCUGGGAGUUUAUCCUCAAACGCAGAAUAACAGCAUGCUGUGUCAGCAGUCUGGUCUGAAACAUGUCAUGAAUCAGAGGGGACGGAGAUGUUGUCCAACCUAUAGAAGGAAAACAGAGAGGGAGAAAAUGAAAGAGAAAGAGAGGGCAUCGUGCAAACUGACA